AUUUAUCACAUUGAUCACAUUGCCACGCUCAUGCACUCAUCGGUACACAGAAAGCCAUAUCACACAGUACUCAGAACAUGCUUUAAAUGUUCGGACACACUUACGUUGCCACAUCUUUCAAAAUGUUUUGUUCAAACGGUCAAAAAUACAUGUUUUAGCCUAUGGGGCUGUUCGUAUGGAGCCUGGCUCGCUUGGGUAUUGGACAACUUGCAUGUUAGACUAAAUUUUAAUCUAAGUAAAGAGAAGGGAAUCAAACACCACAGCUAAAAAAACAUAAUGAAAUUAGUAAAAUUGCAAAAUUUGGUUGCGAAAUAUUGUAAAGCUUGGAAAAUAUAGCCUUGCGAAGUUCGCAAAUUUUGUAUAUGUUUGUAUUACGUGCGGAAAUUGUUACCAUUUUAGGCUCAAAAAUGGUAACAAUUUCCGCACGUAAUACAAACAUAUACAAAAUAUGCAAACUUCGCAAGGCUAUACUUUCCGUAUUUUACAAACAUUUCGUAACCAAAUUUUGCAAAUUUACUAAUUUUAAUAAGUUCUUUACGGGAAUGUACUUUUUUGCCUAUAGAUCGAAAAUUAUUCUAACAUGCAAGUUGUCUAUUAGCUUGGUUUGAUUUGCAGAAACAGUAUAAAAUUCAUUCAAACGUUCUUAGUUAUGAUCAAGAAAGGGAAAAAAACGUGACAUGAUUCAUCUCGGCAAUCUCGUUUUAACUAGUUCCACGGUGAAUGAGCGUGAGAGGGUUCAAAACUCAAGCUUGUAUUAUCAUAGAUAAGAUAUCUGUGUGUUUUAUACGUCGAAUUUUGGUCGCGUCGAAUGCAAUUAAGACAAUAGAUAAUGAGAUGAUAUACCUCAUUAAGCUUCAUUAUCUAUUGUUUGAAUUGCCUUAGACGCGACCGAAAUUCGACGUAUAAAACGGGUCUCAAUCACCAAAGUCCAACAUGCAAUUUAGACCGUAAACUCGAAUGAAAAUCGCGAUAUACCUUGUACCUGCAUUUGUUGAAUAUUAAAAAGUAUUUUUAUAUUGA